CAGUUCGGAUUGUAGGCUGCAACUCGCCUACAUGAAGUCGGAGUUGCUAGUAAUCGCGGAUCAGAAUGCCGCGGUGAAUGCGUUCCCGGGUCUUGUACACACCGCCCGUCACACCAUGGAAGUUGGGGGCGCCCGAAGUUGCCUAAGAAAUAAGGUACCUAAGGCGAAACCAAUGACUGGGGUGAAGUCGUAACAAGGUAAC
rnacentral:rRNA from 1 species